CCUACGGGUGGCAGCAGUAGGGGAUAUUGCACAAUGGGGGAAACCCUGAAGCAGCAACGCCGCGUGGAGGAUGAAGGUUUUCGGUAUGUAAACUCCUAUCAUUAGAGAAGAUAAUGACGGUAUCUAACGAAUAAGCACCGGCUAACUCCGUGCCAGCAGCCGCGGUAAUACGGAGGGUGCAAGCGUUACUCGGAUUCACUGGGCGUAAAGAGAGCGUAGGCGGGAUAGCAAGUCAGAUGUGAAAUCCUAGGGCUUAACCAUAGAACUGCAUUUGAAACUGUUAUUCUAGAGUAUGGGAGAGGUAGGUGGAAUUCGUGGUGUAGGGGUAAAAUCCGUAGAGAUCAAGAGGAAUAC
rnacentral:rRNA from 1 species